UGUUGGGUAGGGGAGCGUUCUGUAAGCCUGCGAAGGUGGCCUGUGAGGGUUGCUGGAGGUAUCAGAAGUGCGAAUGCUGACAUAAGUAACGAUAAAGCGGGUGAAAAGCCCGCUCGCCGGAAGACCAAGGGUUCCUGUCCAACGUUAAUCGGGGCAGGGUGAGUCGACCCCUAAGGCGAGGCCGAAAGGCGUAGUCGAUGGGAAACGGGUUAAUAUUCCCGUACUUGGUGUUACUGCGAAGGGGGGACGGAGAAGGCUAUGUUGGCCGGGCGACGGUUGUCCCGGUUUAAGCGUGUAGGUGUGUGUUCCAGGUAAAUCCGGUUCACUUUAACACUGAGGCGUGACGACGAGGCACUACGGUGCUGAAGCAACAAAUGCCCUGCUUCCAGGAAAAGCCUCUAAGCAUCAGGUAACAUCAAAUCGUACCCCAAACCGACACAGGUGGUCAGGUAGAGAAUACCAAGGCGCUUGAGAGAACUCGGGUGAAGGAACUAGGCAAAAUGGUGCCGUAACUUCGGGAGAAGGCACGCUGACACGUAGGUGAAGUGAUUUACUCAUGGAGCUGAAGUCAGUCGAAGAUACCAGCUGGCUGCAACUGUUUAUUAAAAACACAGCACUGUGCAAACACGAAAGUGGACGUAUACGGUGUGACGCCUGCCCGGUGCCGGAAGGUUAAUUGAUGGGGUCAGCGCAAGCGAAGCUCCUGAUCGAAGCCCCGGUAAACGGCGGCCGUAACUAUAACGGUCCUAAGGUAGCGAAAUUCCUUGUCGGGUAAGUUCCGACCUGCACGAAUGGCGUAAUGAUGGCCAGGCUGUCUCCACCCGAGACUCAGUGAAAUUGAACUCGCUGUGAAGAUGCAGUGUACCCGCGGCAAGACGGAAAGACCCCGUGAACCUUUACUAUAGCUUGACACUGAACAUUGAGCCUUGAUGUGUAGGAUAGGUGGGAGGCUUUGAAGUGUGGACGCCAGUCUGCAUGGAGCCGACCUUGAAAUACCACCCUUUAAUGUUUGAUGUUCUAACGUGGACCCGUUACCCGGGUUGCGGACAGUGUCUGGUGGGUAGUUUGACUGGGGCGGUCUCCUCCUAAAGAGUAACGGAGGAGCACGAAGGUUGGCUAAUCCUGGUCGGACAUCAGGAGGUUAGUGCAAUGGCAUAAGCCAGCUUGACUGCGAGCGUGACGGCGCGAGCAGGUGCGAAAGCAGGUCAUAGUGAUCCGGUGGUUCUGAAUGGAAGGGCCAUCGCUCAACGGAUAAAAGGUACUCCGGGGAUAACAGGCUGAUACCGCCCAAGAGUUCAUAUCGACGGCGGUGUUUGGCACCUCGAUGUCGGCUCAUCACAUCCUGGGGCUGAAGUAGGUCCCAAGGGUAUGGCUGUUCGCCAUUUAAAGUGGUACGCGAGCUGGGUUUAGAACGUCGUGAGACAGUUCGGUCCCUAUCUGCCGUGGGCGCUGGAGAACUGAGGGGGGCUGCUCCUAGUACGAGAGGACCGGAGUGGACGCAUCACUGGUGUUCGGGUUGUCAUGCCAAUGGCACUGCCCGGUAGCUAAAUGCGGAAGAGAUAAGUGCUGAAAGCAUCUAAGCACGAAACUUGCCCCGAG
rnacentral:rRNA from 1 species